rnacentral:lncRNA from 1 species
CUGCUGCGCUGCUUGAGAAAAGCUUGCUUUGGCUCUCUUGAGGUUGUUUUCUUCCAUACCCAAAUAUCCUUGAUCUGCCUCUCUCCUUCAGACAUCAACAGGCCUCCUCAGAAUUUUACAGAACAGGAGUGACAGGAACAACAAAGGCAGGUCUGGAAGGAGACUGCAGGAGGAUCGAUGAAGGUUCAACCACACUUCACCUGCAUAUGCCAGAUUAUUUGCCUGUCCUGUACCCUGUUUGUGACAUGGAGAUGCAGACGCCAGAGCUCUGCUCUCCUCUAUUGGGUCUGCUGGUCACAUUUCCCUGCUUUAUCCCUGCUUUCUCUGGGUUAGGGAUACCCCAUCCUUUUUUAAUUUAUACCCCUGUCCUGCACUGAUCCCAUUUCCUCACCUCUCCCCGAGCUUGCUUUCCUUUCCCUCAGUGUGGUGCUGACCCGAGGGCCACGGGGAGAAGGAUGCGGCAUGUCAGAGGCAGCUGUGGGUAGUGGAGGGUGACGAGAAAAGCAAACCCCAUAGGGCUGGGUUAGGGGUUUGUUAAGACUUUAAAAUAAUACCAGGAAUGACGGUGUUUGCAGGGGAGACCCGCGACACUGCUGAGCAUCCCAAAAAGGAAGAGGAGGAGUGCAGGCAUCUUUUACACCUCCAGGGAAAUGCAAGGAUAAACUCUGAUCUGAGGCUGAUUGAUGCUAAUGAAAGGACUCCAGCAGACUUUGGAAUAGACCUGCAGAAAAUAUGUUUAUUCAGCCAAAGGAAAUCAGAAGAUGGAACAAAGAGACAGCAUUUGUAUCUAAGUCUUACCAGAAAACACGAUUGUUUCAACAGUUUCCACAGAGCACAAACACACCUGUUCAAGGCCAAGUGCCAAACCCAACUCUCUCUUAAAGACUGGCAUUUUCUGACUCAUCUCAACACUGCUGUUUAUCCAUUCCUUUUGUCUAGCUGUGCUUUUCAGCAGUUCAAUGUCUUCUUUAUUCUCCCUGGACUCAGGAGAAAUUAACACUCGCCUGCCUGAAGAAGUAUACUCUGAGGAAUGUUUCAGUUUUUACAUAUCUGACUUUUCUUCGGUCGUUUGAUAUUUCAAAGGUUUGCAAGGUAAGUCUGCUUGCCUUUAAGCGAGCUAUUGUUAGGCUACUUAUAAAAGCGUGACAAUUACCCAAAGUGGUGAAUUAUCAAAAUGUGCCAAAUGGCAGCCCUCUUCCCCAUCAGCUUUUUGUGAGAAUGUGGCUUUUCUUUCCCUUCCUGCAAUUGCUGUGUUCCAUCCUCCCUCUUGUGCACACUGAGGAGCGGAAUACUAAUAUAAUUCCGCUGAAUUUGAGGGGAAUACCUCAAUUACAAAUUACAUUGGUGAUGUAAUUCUGUCCUUCACACAGUCACCCUGAUCAGAGUUGUAUUUAAAGGCAUAAAAUCAGUGCAAGUGUCAGAAGCUAUGAACUAUCCAGGUGGAACUCAUUAGACCUUAGGGGACCACACAGAUCUCUAACUUGCCUGAAGGUACCCAAGUUUAACCUCCUGAGACUCCAAAAUUUUCUCUCUGGCUGUGACUUCAUCUAAUUUAUUCUUUAGUUGAUGCAGAGAUUUUGCCUUCUAUCUUCCUCCUACACAGUUUCUCAUCUUUUGCAUCCUCCUUUUUUUUUCCUCAUUAUUGCUUUUGCUCUUCAGUUGCAUGUUAUAAUAAAGUGUGAUUUUUUUCCCCA